rnacentral:lncRNA from 1 species
ACCCUUACAACCUUCUUCGAAGGAGAAAUAAUCAGCAAAAAACACCCUUUCUUAACUCGCAAGUGGGAUGCAGAUGAAGAUGUUGAUCGGAAACACUGGGGCAAGUUUCUGGCUUUUUAUCAGUAUGCAAAAUCAUUUAACUCAGAUGACUUUGAUUAUGAAGAGCUGAAGAAUGGAGACUACGUCUUCAUGAGGUGGAAGGAACAGUUUCUGGUCCCAGAUCACACGAUCAAAGACAUCAGUGGUGCUUCUUUUGCCGGGUUCUACUACAUCUGCUUUCAGAAGUCAGCAGCCUCCAUAGAGGGCUACUACUACCAUAGGAGUUCAGAAUGGUGAGGACCUCUGAGGACAGAGGCCACGGGGAGGGCUUGCUGCCCAGCUGGCUCUCCCUUGGCUCAUCAAACCCAAAAGCAACAUCUUAGCCUGUCUCUGUAUAGAUUCUGUGCUUUAUUUGGAUGCUGAGAGCUUAUUUCAGUGAUCUCAGUUGCUCACAAUAAGGCCUUAUCCCUAUGCACAGAGCAGAGUAAAUGAGAUGAAAAU